ACACGUGACGUGGCCUGGGGAGCAUGGAUGUCCUCCAGCCCCGCGGCACGGACGGAGAGGGAUCGGACGUGGUGCCGGGCUGGGGGCUCCCAGUAAUUCCUCUCUUUUACUCCUUAAAACAACCAGAAAAAUGGCUCACAUGUUUUGCUUUAUUGAACACGAUGUCACUGGGAAAAGCCACGAUGUGAACAAGUUUCCGGAGAGCAAACCUCAGACACUGCAUGUGGGUGCUCCAGGCUGGGAAAGCUAUUUCCUCCUGAUCUGCAGCUGUUUGACACGUAGCUGCUCCUUGCUGAGUAACGCAGCUGAUGAGAAACCUCGGCCAUAAAUGUUACACACGUUUGCACUUUCCCUGUGCCAGCUCAAGGGCUGAAACUGAAAACAGAAACCUGGAAAGCAUUGCUACAAGCUGUCACUUGACAUUCAUUUUUAAUUUGACUUGCUGCGAAAAUCUGGAAGUAAAUUUUAUGAUUUCUUUAAGUUCUGGCUCAUGAUUUUUAAGUGCUUCCGAUCAAUAAUGCUGAAACCCUUUCCUUGUUUUCGAGUCAACUCGUCCGCUGCAAGCAGUUGUGGUAUAUGAGAACUGAAACUGCUAGGAGUGAGCACCUUCUCUACCCCUCUUGAUUAAUCUGCUGUGAUUGUGCAUCGUCAUCCUCAGCAGCCUCCCCACCACCUAAUAUUUUUUUCAGGCACAUCUCAAUACAUAGAGAAGAGCUGUUAUGGGAUGAGGUCAAAUUCAGCUGCAGCACUGCUCAUAGCUUAUCUCACACAGUAGACAAGAAGGAAAAUA